UGCGUUCAGUCGCAUUUGGAAUAACAGUACGUGCGGGUGUUUUCGCGGGCGCGUUCAUGUCGCCGUUCGCUUCUUCAUCUACAGUUAGUUCUUGCCUAGCUGUUGGCGCGCCUGGACAACGCAAAGUGCGUUUGGAGUGUUGCCCGUAAAAAUAGCCAAAUAUUUUAUAGCAACAACUCUUGUCAAUUCAUUGCUGUCGUAUGUAAGUGUGUGUAUAUGUGCCAAACAACACGAAAGCUCGUGCAAACCGAACGUGGCAAAAAAAGAACCGUUAAAAACAUUAAAUUAUCACAUAUAGAAUAACAGCAACAAAGAACUGUAACUGUAACUAUCGACUGUAACUGCAUCUGCAU